rnacentral:rRNA from 1 species
CCAGACUCCUACGGGAGGCAGCAGUAGGGAAUCUUCGGCAAUGGACGAAAGUCUGACCGAGCAACGCCGCGUGAGUGAAGAAGGUUUCCGGAUCGUAAAGCUCUGUUGUAAGAGAAGAACGGGUGUGAGAGUGGAAAGUUCACACUGUGACGGUAUCUUACCAGAAAGGGACGGCUAACUACGUGCCAGCAGCCGCGGUAAUACGUAGGUCCCGAGCGUUGUCCGGAUUUAUUGGGCGUAAAGCGAGCGCAGGCGGUUAGAUAAGUCUGAAGUUAAAGGCUGUGGCUUAACCAUAGUACGCUUUGGAAACUGUUUAACUUGAGUGCAGAAGGGGAGAGUGGAAUUCCAUGUGUAGCGGUGAAUGCGUAGAUAUAUGGAGGAACACCGGUGGCGAAAGCGGCUCUCUGGUCUGUAACUGACGCUGAGGCUCGAAAGCGUGGGGAGCGAACAGGAUUAGAUACCCUGGUAGUCCACGCCGUAAACGAUGAGUGCUAGGUGUUAGGCCCUUUCCGGGGCUUAGUGCCGCAGCUAACGCAUUAAGCACUCCGCCUGGGGAGUACGACCGCAAGGUUGAAACUCAAAGGAAUUGACGGGGGCCCGCACAAG